CACUGCCACGGAUGUCACGUGACACGCACGUGUCAACACCCCCCGUACCCCCGAGGCAAAAGCAAAAGGGGAUAAAGAAGGGAAAAAAAGGGCAUAAAAACAGUCGUCAAACCCUAUCCUCUUCCCUCGUAUUUUCUCUUCUCUCUCUCUUGAAACUCUAAUCACGAAUUCAGUUUUCCCCUAAAUUCAGCGGCUGAAAUGGAUGAAUUUCGUUUGGGUGUCCGAAUCGGAGUCUCAUGCUGCCUCGGAUUUCAACUGGAUUUGAUGAUUUGCUGUUAUAGAAGUGAGCUCUGAGGACUCGCUACGUUUUAAUCGGACGAGAUUACACGAAGCGUUCAUGGAGGGCUCUGCAACGGCAUCGUCGGCAGCAGCGGACGAGGGUCCCGAGUCGUGGGAGGUUGCUGAUGUCGACGCUAGCAUGCGCCGACUCAUGCUUUCCUCGAAAGGAUUCCGAUGUUAGCUGUAAUAAGCAGGAAGAGAGAGCCGAGGAUUCAGGUUCGGGCUUUAGUUUGAAUUCGUGUUCGGUUAAGUCAGAUGAUUUGGUUAACACAGUGGAUCAGUUUUUGCGCGACGCUCUACAGAAUCCUCGCGAGCGCCUCUCUGGCAAGAAGAAAUGCGAAUAGUAGUGUCGUGGACCAAUUCAAAUCUCGGUGCAUCCCAAUUAUCUUCGGAAUGUAGAGUGCAUACCUUAUGAGCGUGACUGCAAGGAAUACCAAAUUGAGUCCACUUGCCAUAAGAAUAUUCUCGGUUCUCAAUUUUGACAAGGGUAUUGAGUCCAUAUCCACUGUGACGUCUUGUAACAAUCGAUGUGGAUUGUUGGAAUUGAUUGUAUUUAGUGACGGUAUGCUUAAUAGAAUUUUGGUGCCAACGUGUGUAAAUCUUGUGUGCAAAAUCUGUCCAUAGUUGGUUGUUGGCCAAUACUAAAAUAUUUUUCGCUAACCUCCAAUGAAAAUAGUUGACAGUUCGCUGAAACGUCAUCUCAGCAAUUGCUGUCAAUGGUAGGCGACGAGCCUCUUUCAAUACUUUAUUUAUGCAUUUCAACAUAGUUGUUAGAAUUCCGCAUCGCCAUCUAUCAUCAUGAGAUGCAUUUCAACAUAGGUGCUUCUAUAGGUUGGUACCCACUUUCCACACGUCUAUCAGUAGAUGACGACACGAAAUUUCUUGUUAUAUUGUAGUACCAUUCCGAAUAAUCUCAUUCUGGUUCUCUUCUAUUGAAAAUGGGCGGCCUUUGUACUAUUGUGCCAUGUCGUCUUUGCCACCUAGUAAUGUAUUGUAUGUGGUGCAUGUGCCAAUCUGUGCCCGUGUGAUUUUUAUGGGAGAUCUGAUGGAAGUUCAUAUCCCGGGUAUCCAUUGCUUUUGAAAUAUUUUGCCUCAUCCCGAAUUGACGAAGAACCUGUUCGGGACGAUGCAUUGCAACUAUUGCGUAGAAUACCAAUGGAUAUGAUGACCUCCAUAAUUGGGGGUUCAAAUCAGCGGCGUAAGCUAUAAUGACAUUCGAGUCAUGUCAUACGGCUGACUGAUGAACUGUAAUAAAUAAAAAUAAGUAAAUUAAUAUGCAUUUAAUUCAUGGUAUAAAUCUAUUUAUAAUAUUAAAAAUAAGUUACCUGAUCCGCCUGCAUCUCAUUCAGUAUAUCUUUUAUCACCCGAACAGUAUCCUGUAAGUACUAUUCGGGUGAACGUGUGCUGACAAUUUCAAAUAACACCAUAUGGUGCUUUUGGGAGCGAGUGAUUGUAGUCUAUUUGGACUUGGCUCGUAAAUAGUCGUUCUGCACCAAGUCCAGGGCAAGUGGAGUGAUUUGUGACUAUGCUCAAAUCUGUACGAAUAAUACAAAUAUAUGUUAAUAAUUAAUAUUCAUACAAAAAAUUGUGUAUGAGUUAUUACGUAAAUUUUUCCUGUAAUAAUUGUAGCGUGCCACCAAUUGCAAUUUUGUCUUUUGUGCUGACAUUGCAUAAUUCACGAUAUAAAAAUGAUAGUACAACACUCCACAAUUAUAGUUCCUGGCCGUUUCAAUAUUUUUUAAUUUUGAAAAAUAUAGUAAUGAGAUCAGGUUACCUGAUAAUUCUGGGCACAUCAUCCCCCAAUAGGAGCAAUGCAACAGCACGGCCGUACUGGACGGCGAUGUCAUGGGGAGUGUUAUGAGGCAUGCAAAACUUUAUGAUAAAAAUGAAGGCAGACUUGAUGUGAGAAUGCUUUUGAAAAAUAAAAAAGCUUUAAUCGAGGCUGUGAAAGAUCACUCGAUAUGGUAUGCACGUCGCGAGUAUUGGGUAGCUUAGAGUUUAAAGGUUAAGUGGAAAGUAUACUGUAAGCAGCGCAACCUAGGUAUAUAUAUAUAUUUGUAUAAGUAUAAUCAUACAAAAUUAGCCGACUGAUUCAUAUUUAUUUUUUUUCAAAUAUGUGGUGUAGAUGGGAGUUGUGAGGGAUUUUAAAACAAAAAAUUGAAAGGUGGAUAAUAUUAAAAUAUGGGAGGACCAUAUAUGUAUAUUGAAUGAAAUGUCCUUCGAAGAUGAUAAUUUAGAUAGGAUUUAUGUUCCUUCUUUGCUUUUAGGACUUGUGAAAUGCACCCCCCGUACAGAGUAAAACAUGUUAUCCAAAUUGUGAAAGACCAUAUAUGGUACAAUAUAUCAUAGCAAAAAGCAUGUUUCAGUUUGAAGAUGACACGUAAAAUAGUUUACGGCACAUGAGAUAGUUCAGUUCGAAAGCUACCCAAAUACAUGGGAGCUCUCUAAAAAUAUAAUUCAGAAACGAUUGUUGAAUGGCAACACGAAGAUAUAAGAGAAUGACUAUGACAAUCAAUUCAUAAUAUUAGAUCUUCAUACUUUGCAUG